AUUUAUCCGCUUUAGGAGUGGCCCGCGUACGAUUAGAUUGUUGGUGAGUAACGGCUCACCAAGUCGACGGAUCGUUAACUGGUCUGAGAGGAUGAUCAGUCAGACUGGAACUGAGACACGGUCCAGACUCCUACGGGAGGGCAGCAGUAAGGAAUCUUCCACAAUGGGCGAAAGCCUGAUGGAGCAACGCCGCGUGCAGGAUGAAGGCCCUCGGGUCGUAAACUACUUUUAUGAGUGAAGAAUAUGACGGUAACUCAUGAAUAAGCACCGGCUAACUACGUG
rnacentral:rRNA from 1 species